rnacentral:rRNA from 1 species
CAUUAAUGAAUUUGGAGGCUGUCGCUGGCUAGGUCCCAUUCUAGCAUGUGCA